UCUCCGCACCGCUGAAUUGACCACUAUCGUUUCUUCAUUUUUCUCUGUUUCAGAAUCUUCUUCUUCUUGCUUGGCUUUUUAUUUUCUUCUUUAUUCUGUUUCAGAACCCCUUUUCUCGCCCAUUUGCUCCCCAUUGCCUCCUACAAGUCUUGCUUCAAUGGCCGUACCGUCGCUCUUCAGAUCUGCACCCGCUGCUUCUUUUCUUCAAGCGUCGCUUCCUCUCUCUUCUGCCGAUCACCCUACGGCUCCGUGCGUUAAUUUGAGUUCUUCCAAGUUUCAAUCCAGCAUUUUCGUUGCUCAUGUUUCAAGCGGAUCAUCUUCCUUUCAGCUUCGUACACCCCACAAUAUUCAACCUAGUAAAGCUACAGCUACUGAAAUACCUCCCGCAGUUCGUAAAUCGAGAAGCGGUGGAAAGACGAAGAUCGGAAUCAAUGGUUUUGGACGCAUUGGAAGAUUGGUGUUACGAAUUGCAACCUUGAGGGAUGAUAUUGAUGUAGUUGCAGUUAAUGACCCUUUUGUUGAUGCAAAGUACAUGGCAUACAUGUUCAAAUUUGAUUCUACACAUGGUAAUUUUAAUGGUACAAUUAACGUUGUGGAUGAUUCAACUUUGGAAAUCAAUGGGAAACAAAUAAAAGUUUCAAGUAAAAGGGAUCCGGCAGAAAUUCCUUGGGGUCAAUUUGGGGUCGAGUUUGUUGUUGAAUCCUCUGGGGUUUUCACAACGACAAAUAAGGCAUCAGCGCACUUGAAGGGUGGAGCCAGGAAAGUUGUCAUAUCAGCUCCAUCAGCUGAUGCACCUAUGUUCGUUGUUGGAGUUAAUGAGAAGACAUAUAAGCCAAACAUGGAUAUUGUUUCAAAUGCAAGUUGUACCACGAACUGUCUUGCUCCUAUUGCGAAGGUGGUUCAUGAGGUUUUUGGUAUCGCAGAAGGUUUGAUGACAACCGUGCAUGCAACCACAGCUACUCAAAAGACUGUUGAUGGUCCCUCAAUGAAGGAUUGGCGUGGGGGUCGAGGAGCUGCACAAAAUAUCAUUCCGAGCUCUACUGGUGCUGCGAAGGCCGUGGGAAAGGUUCUUCCUCAGCUCAACGGAAAACUUACAGGAAUGGCAUUUCGUGUUCCAACACCUAAUGUAUCCGUUGUGGACUUGACUUGUAGACUAGAGAGGAGUGCUUCUUAUGAAGAUGUAAAAGCUGCAAUCAAGUAUGCCUCAGAAGGCCCACUCAAGGGUAUCAUUGGUUACACGGAUGAGGACGUUGUCUCCAAUGAUUUUGUUGGUGAUUCAAGGUAUUAUAUUAUAUUUCUACUCACUCGCACCAAAAGUUAAGGUCCAGCAUAUUCGAUGCAAAGGCCGGAAUAGGUCUCAGCCACUCCUUCAUGAAGCUUAUCUCCUGGUAUGACAACGAGUGGGGAUACAGCAAUCGAGUGCUGGACCUCAUUGAGCACAUGGCAUUGGUGGCUGCCAACGCGUGAAGACAUUUAAGCUUCUGCGAUGUUAAAGUUUUUUUUUUUAAUUUUUUUAUUGUUCUAUUCUCCAGAAUAUUGCAUUAGAGUUUGAAAAUAAUGACGAAAAAAAUAGUUUAGAUGGUCGCAAUAAAACGCAAUAUGUUAUCAGAAAGUGGAAUAUAUUUUGAAGAC